rnacentral:lncRNA from 1 species
GCGAAUCCAUGUUCAAAGAACACGACUGAUCAUCAUUAUUAUUAGUAUAUAUUUGGAUCCAACAUAAGAACAAUCCAUUGGGCAAAAGAAUAAGUUAAAUAUUUUUUGUCCUAAUUCCUAUAGACAUGUUUGUUCCGUUCACAUGACAGAAAGCAAUUCUUGAACUUUGCAAUCUUAUUGUAACAGAUUUUCUUCAUUCACAUGGUAGCAAUUUUUUCAACUCUCCAAUCUUGUGUGCUAUGCUAUGCACCAUUUGAGAAGAGCAAAGUAGUAAAAUAGGCCGAUUUUCUAAAAGGAAAAUUGCGAUGCCGUCUUGCAUUCAUAACUUGAAUUUUGCCAUUUUUUAUUUGGAUGAUCCUACACCACAAAAUCUCGAGCUUUUUCUUCUCAAGACUCAAACUCGAUAUCUAUAGUUAAAGACGGGAUAUUCAUCCAUCUUUCACAUUCCUUUUUGGAACCACCUAGCCAGCUGUAAAAAAAACAUACCUCCAUAGAAUUUGAACUGAACUCUUGACAAUUGUUAACUGUUAACUACUCAAUUGAUGUGAACAAAGUACUAAAAUAUGGCGAAACUCUAAAGUACCUUGAAUGAUCCUACACCAUAAUGUCUCAUAGGGACGACCUACUACAACAACAACAAUCCAGUAUAAUCUCAUAAGUGGGGUUUGGGAAGGAUAAUAUAUACGCAGACCUUACCCCUAUCUCGAGGAGCAGGGAGACUGUUUCCAGGAGAACCUCGACUAAAGACAGCAACAAGAGACGAUAUAUUAGUACUAUCAAUAAACUCAUAUUAAAAUAACAUAAAAUAAUAUAAAAUACAUAAUAUAACAUAAAAUAACAAAAUAACAACAAUAUCAGAAUAUAAGAAAUAUACGAAAAAGAUGGAAGGUAUACUAAUGACCAACAGAUAAAUCCUUACACCAAUAGUUGAUCAGUAGCAUUCUAAGAUUAACUCCUAACAUUAUUUAAACCAUCAUGUAUCGAAAACUAAUGGCUUAAGCUAAUAUAUAUUUGCACCAAAUAUGAUUCAUCAGUUCCACACAUCCUUUCUCGGAACCACCUAGCGGUUAAAAAAAAAAUGUCUCCGUAGAAUUUGAAGUCAUGAACUCUUAACAAUUGUUAACUGUGAAUCAGUAAACGAGUUAAUUAUACUCCAACUCUUCAAUCUUAUAUUAGCUAGCGAUUUCAAGAAUUUGGGG